AAUGGGCGCAAGCCUGAUGCAGCCAUGCCGCGUGUGUGAUGAAGGCCUUAGGGUUGUAAAACACUUUCAUCGGUGAAGAUAAUGACGGUAGCCGAAGAAGCCCCGGCUAACUCCGUGCCAGCAGCCGCGGUAAUACGGAGGGGGCAAGCGUUGUUCGGAAUUACUGGGCGUAAAGCGCACGUAGGCGGACUGGUCAGUUGGGGGUGAAAUCCCGAGGCUUAACCUCGGAACUGCCUUCAAUACUGCCAGUCUUGAGAUCGGAAGAGGUGAGUGGAAUUCCUAGUGUAGAGGUGAAAUUCGUAGAUAUUAGGAAGAACACCAGUGGCGAAGACGGCUCACUGGUCCGAUACUGACGCUGAGGUGCGAAAGCGUGGGGAGCGAACAGGAUU
rnacentral:rRNA from 1 species